rnacentral:tRNA from 1 species
GCCAGGGUAGCUCAGCGGUAGAGCAGGGGACUCAUAAGCCCUUGGUCGGAGGUUCGAUUCCUCUCCCUGGCACCA